rnacentral:rRNA from 1 species
GACGAACCGUGCGAACGUUGUUCGGAUUCACUGGGCUUAAAGGGCGUGUAGGCGGUCAGGUAAGUGGGAUGUGAAAUGCCCCGGCUCACCCGGGGACCGGCAUCCCAUACUGCUUGGCUUGAGUACGGGAGAGGAUGUGGGAAUUCCUGGUGUAGCGGUGAAAUGCGUAGAUAUCAGGAGGAACACCGGUGGCGAAGGCGCACAUCUGGCCCGAUACUGACGCUGAGGCGCGAAAGCUAGGGGAGCAAACAGG